GUAGGUGGCAAGCGUUGUCCGGGAAUUAUUGGGGCGUAAAGCGCGCGCAGGCGGUUCUUUAAGUCUGAUGUGAAAGCCCACGGGCUCAACCGUGGAGGGUCAUUGGAAACUGGAGAACUUGAGUACAGAAGAGGAAAGCGGAAUUCCACGUGUAGCGGUGAAAUGCGUAGAGAUGUGGAGGAACACCAGUGGCGAAGGCGGCUUUCUGGUCUGUAACUGACGCUGAGGCGCGAAAGCGUGGGGAGCAAACAGGAUCAGAUACCCUGGUAGUCCACGCCGUAAACGAUGAGUGCUAAGUAUUAGGGGGUUUCCGCCCCUUAGUGCUGCAGCUAACGCAUUAAGCACUCCGCCUGGGGAGUACGGCCGCAAAGGCUG
rnacentral:rRNA from 1 species